rnacentral:lncRNA from 1 species
AUAUUUAAGCCAACCCAGUUCACAAAAUGGCAAUUCCCAAGACUAAGUUUGAUAAGGACCUUAAGGAUAUUAAAGGACCGGGAAGAAGACCCUCUCAAUCGGAAGAGGUCAAUCUAAAAGAUAUUCUCCGGGAAAUACAGAAACUAGCGGAGAGACAAGAAGAACAUCAAAGACAAUCACAAAUGAAACUUGACCCAGCACAGCCUACAACAAAGAGAACUCUACCAGGAAAUGAUGGACAUGAAAAAAGAAAUUAAAGAGGACAUUGGACAUUUGAAAGAAGGAAUGAUUAAAUCUCACAAGGACAUUAACGAUUUGAAACUGGAAAAUCAGAAACUAACCAAGAUUCAAAAGAAUCAACAAUGUAAAAUAGAAAGACUAGAAGCCAAAAACGAAAAACUGGAGAGAUUACAGGAAAGAACUGAACAACAUGAAAAAGAGUUCCAAUUGAGGUUUCGUAAUAUCCUGGAAGAUAGUAAUGAAGAUAUAAGACAAACCAUCACCAAAUUACUAGCCAAUUUGUUAACCCAAUCAGAAGAGUUUAUAGAAUAUGAACUAGACAAAGUCUACAGGAUUCAGACGAACUUUUCAAGAAAAAAUAAGGUUUCAAGAGACGUGAUUGUCCACUUUGUGAGAAAGAAAAUACGCGACGAGGUUCUGAUGAAGAACAACCAUAAACCAUUAACAUACAAAGAGAAAAAGAUCAUAAUCCUGAAAGAAUUCCCUCAAUUAACUCUAACCAGAAGAAAAAAGUACUUCUUUCUAACUGAGGAACUGAAAAAACAAAAGAUUAGAUUUAGGUGGGAAAGGAACGAAGGCAUUAUGGUCACGCUGAAAGGAGAACGACAUUGGCUCACGAGUGAAGACAAGGCAAAAGACUUCUACAGAAAAUAUAUACAAGACAAAGAAAAACACCUCGCUGACUCAACUCCUCCUUCAUUAAAGAGGAAAAAACCAAAAAGAGCGAGGCACCACUCACCACAAAAGACAGGUCCUAAGUUAACCAAACCUUCACAGACUUCAGAAGCGUCGGACGUAGGCGGAGAGGACGAGGAAGACGAAGCUAACAUAACAGAAGAAGAAUUAAUAACAGAAGAAGAGGAUACAACCAACAGGGAAGGUAUCAACAAGAAUGAAACAUCCGGCGAACAUGUCCAAGAAUGUAUGUAAUCUGAAAUGUCAAUUGAAAUUUUAUUCUAAUAAUAUUAACGGAAUUAACAUACCAAAUAAAAAGAGAAUUCUAUUUAACCAACUAAGUAA